rnacentral:lncRNA from 1 species
CAUUUUUUGGGGCCCCUUACACAGCUCAAGGUCUGGGCCCCAGGGCCUGACGGUGAGUAUGCCCAUAAGGCCCACCCAUAAGUCCACCUACAUGUUCCACCCAUGAGUUUGCUCACAGGGAGUGUGUAGGGGAUGUGUUAUGUGUUGCUGUAGAGUAUCUAAUGUGUGUGCUUAUGGAAUGUAGUUUAUAGGGAUACCAGUUUGUGUAGG